rnacentral:rRNA from 1 species
UCCUACGGGUGGCUGCAGUGGGGAAUAUUGGGCAAUGGGCGAAAGCCUGACCCAGCGACGCCGCGUGGGUGAUGAAGGCCUUCGGGUUGUAAAGCCCUGUCAUGCGGAAAGAACAGUCUCAUGGCUAAUAUCCAUGAGAUUUGACGGUACCGCAGGAGGAAGCACCGGCUAACUCCGUGCCAGCAGCCGCGGUAAUACGGAGGGUGCAAGCGUUGUUCGGAAUUAUUGGGCGUAAAGGGCGCGUAGGCGGGAAUGAAAGUCAGAUGUGAAAUACUUCGGCUCAACUGAAGAACUGCAUCUGAAACUUCAUAACUAGAGUACGGAAGAGGGAAAUGGAAUUCCCGGUGUAGAGGUGAAAUUCGUAGAUAUCGGGAGGAACACCAGUGGCGAAGGCGAUUUCCUGGUCUGGUACUGACGCUGAGGCGCGAAAGUGUGGGGAGCAAACAGGAUUAGAUACCCUGGUAGUC